GUAAUCAUGUAUAAUACUCGAAUAAUAAAUAAAAGAUGCGGAAUUAUAAUAAAUGGAAUCAUGGUCAUAAAUCUGAAAUUUGUUCGACAAUACGAAAAAUAAGUUUUUCAAUAUCUAAACAACAUCUUUUCCUGUCUGCGAAAUCUCUACUACAUAAGACAUCAAUAACUUGUCUGAAUCUGGGACAAGGCCCCCAGUGGACCUAAAUCAAAUUAAAUC
rnacentral:lncRNA from 1 species